rnacentral:rRNA from 1 species
UACGUAGGUGGCAAGCGUUGUCCGGAUUUACUGGGCGUAAAGAGCGCGCAGGCGGUCGUUCAAGUCGCGUGUGAAAGCCCCCAGCUCAACUGGGGAGGGUCACGCGAUACUGAUCGACUCGAAGGCAGGAGAGGGUAGUGGAAUUCCCGGUGUAGUGGUGAAAUGCGUAGAUAUCGGGAGGAACACCAGUGGCGAAGGCGACUACCUGGCCUGUUUCUUGACGCUGAGGCGCGAAAGCUAGGGGAGCAAACGGG